UUUCUAACUUACCAUUUUACACGAAAUGUUCGAAACUUAAAAAAAAACUGCCUGCACCUUUGCCUGCAUGGACAACAUCAUUUCCAUUUAAUCCAAAUAAAAAUUCCAUGUGAUUUAUAGUGCGUAGAACGCUGAAGAACGGCCUCUCGGAAGAGGAGAAGAAGCACAUCGCCACCUACAUCAAGGGCUACUGACUGUGAUAAAACUCGAAUCCUGUAGCUCGUCCACAAGAAGGGAGGAGGGAAGAUUUAUAAGCAGGAA